rnacentral:lncRNA from 1 species
GUUGCUGGAUCAGGGAAUUCUGGGCGACCCUGGAGCGCCUGGCGAUCUGGAAUUGCGGGACGACGCCGGAGCUGUGAUCCAGGGGAAGGAGGACUUGUCCACGCCGCCGGUCGUGAGAGCUCGCGUCGGUGCUUCGCGGGCAGGCCGGACUUCGCCGGCAAGACAACUGCACCGGCGAAUUUUUUGGUCUGUUUGUUUUUCAGAGGUUGGUUCAUCUCAGGUGGAGGGUAUGGUUGUUUUCAAUCCUAUCUCCUCUUGGCUAUCACUUCGUGAUGGAGAUGAUGAUAUUCUUGCCGGACGGUACUUCGAGGGUGUUCAGUUCGCGGCAGGUUUUUGUUUCAAGGUUGAUAUUUACUUUGUUCGUUGUGUAUCUGAGAUCUUUCAUCAGCCGGUGGCGCCCGAAAUUGCUCAGGUAUGCAAUAUCUCCUCUGACGACGAAGGCAACGAUGGAGCGGUCUUGAGUUCAAGCCCGAGUAGGGGGAAGUUUUGGGACUGCCACUCGGAUGCGGAGGAGGACGACGAACAAGUUCAGUUCCAGAAUGUAGGCAGGGAUGCCCCUGAUUGCACAGCUGGGAUCGUGAAGAAUACGUCGCCGGUCUCUCCGCUCAGCCCGUCGCCAUCUCCGGCAGCCAUGCUGGACGCCAGGAUCGUACACGAUCCUAUUCUGCAGAGGAAGAAGACGCAGGGGAUUGCUAGGAAGCCAUGGGUCGGUGCAUUGCCUAAGGUAAACCUCCCUCCCCUUGUGUUGUCAGAUUUUUUCAAGCCCGAUUGCUGGGUUACUGGGAGGCGUAGUUCGAAGAACCAUCUUAAACCGGCAAGGAUAGUUCCUCCGGCGUUGAUUGUGCCUUCAACUCGGGCCAAUAGACAACAAUUUUUGUUGUCAGUUCUUGCGGCGGAGAGUCCCGCUGAUCAGGCGCCAAUCUCGCCGAGUCCAGGGUGUAUGGCCCUCACCGACGCAGCGGUGCUUGACCUGGUUACGGGUUCGACUCCAACUGAGAAUAAUUGUCACGAUGUGGGCCUUGAUGGUCUGGCGUGCAAGGUAGUAUCUCCUUGGCCGAAUCCUGCUGGGGGUUCAGAUCAACCUAUCUUAACCGCUGAGAACGAUUGUGGAUCAAUCAGAGUUCGUCGCGGGCGCCCAGGUUUUCCUAGGUUGGGAGUCGGCCGCGCGGCGUUUGUUCUUGCCGCUGCUGAUCUCUCGAUCAUGGCAGGGAGGGGUACUGCUCCGCCAGCUAAGUUGCCGCCGCCCAAGGUGAUGUCUGGGAAGGGGCCGCCUCCGGCCGGGGCUUCGCACGCACCGCUGCCGUCUGGGGCGUCUGCCUCGCAGCGUCCUUUGCAGCAAUCGGCGCGCCAGGGGAAUCAGCUGGCUGCGAGGGGGAUGACCCAGGGGAGUCGGCCGCCAGCCCAGGUGCCCAGGAACUUGCAACAGCAGGGUGCAGGAGGGUCUGGGGGGCCUGAAACGAAUCAAGGGCAGUCUCGCAGCCGGUGGGGAGACGAUGGAGUUGGUGCCUACGGUCAUGGCCAGCAUCGCGGUGCUUCUUCUGCUGGAGGCGGUCGGGGUGCUUGGCAGGGGCCUCCGGGGAAUUUUGUGCAAGGUGUUGCUGGUCCUUCGCAUCCUAAGAGAGGGGGCUAUAGGCAGAAUUGGGCUGCUCGAGGCGGAGGCAGAAAGUCUAAGCAUUCGCUGCCAACUCCUGAGGUUCUUGAACCAAUAGCGGAGGUGCAGGUUCAGGGGCGGUCUGGGAGCCCUGCUGCUGCGUUACUACCGGGGCCUGGAGAUGCUGAGGGUCCGACUCAGCUCAAGGACAGCACUAUUGUUAAAUCAGAUGGGGGAGAUAGACCAUCUAAGUGGGCGCGCAAGAAGGAAAAGAUGACGUGCUACCGCUGUGGUGAGAAUGGUCACUUUGUGUCCGAAUGUACAGCGGAAUUAUGUGAGUUCUGUCUCAAACCAGUACAUGGUCUACUUAAGUGUCCUCUCACAGUUGGAAUUAUGCCGACAGUAGCGAUUUAUGGGACUUGUUGUGAGGACCUAAUGUUUUUUGAGUCACCUGCUGGGACUUCUGCGGUGCAUGCUCCCGAUGUAACCCUUACUGGUAAGGUGACUGUGGCCAGUGGGUCUAUGACUGCAGACCAGGUUGGCCAGCAACUGAGAGAGCUGGUGUCUUCUUCUUUUCGAUGGGACCCUAUUGCUGUUGCUGACAAUGUGUUCAAGGUUGUUUUUCCUUCCAAGGAAGACUUGGCGCGGCUGCUGAAAUUCGGUAUGUGCAGAGUGCCAAGCACGUGCUAUAUCUUAGAGUUUGAUUCCUGGAAGGGUGAUGAGCCUCAGGGGACUCCGCUGGAUCAGAUUUGGGUCCGGUUUGCGGGCGUACCGUCGAAGGCGGUGAGUGAUUUUCAUGUUGCUUGGAGCCUUGGGUCAUUGAUAGGAAAGACUGAGAAGGUGGACAUGGUGUUUUCUCGCGCCAAAGGGGUUGCGCGGAUGUUGGUCAGUGUGAUUGAUAUUGGACUUGUGCCAGAUGAGGUCCUUUGGGUUUAUGAGGGUAUGAGGUAUACUCUUCGCUUAGAGAUUGAGAGACCUCUCAUGGUUGUUGAUGAGGAGAAACAAACAGAUGCAGAUAUGUUUGAUGGGGAUGAUGAGUCCCGUGCUAAGGAGUCAGACAAGGACGGGGCAGCCUCCAACCAUGCCGUUUUGCCGAAUGAUCCUAAGACACCGACUGCAGGUGGAGCGGGUAUGUCCGCACCGGUAACACAGGUGCGUUUUGGUUCUUUGGAGCCGGCUUCUGCACCUGCAAGGUUCAUUGCCUCGGCGAGGGACGCCGGGCUGGGUAGAAAGGUCCGGUUGUCUAUUCCUGGGAAGCAGAGAUCUUCGACGGCAUUGCAGCCCUCUUCGCCGGUGGUUGGGUUGCCGUCAGUUUCUUUGGAGCAGUAUUUUGCUAAGGCUAAGGGUGACUCCAUGCUGCCGCAGCAGGUUGAGCCAGGCAUGGCGGUAGAUGCCACUGUGGAGGAGCACGCUCUGCAGGGUGGAGGCCAGGGAGUAACAUCCCAGUCUGUUGGGGCGGUAGCGACGUCUACUGGAGUACCGGAUGCUCCAACAGAUGUGCUGGUGGCAGCUGAUGCUCUUGCGCCAGUGGAGGUUGCCGAUCAGCAGAGGACUCAGGAUUCGGGAGUGAUGUUUCAGCUAGACUCUGUGCUGCCUCAGCUGGCGACAGAGGAGGGGUCGGCGCCUAUUUCGGCCUCACAGGUGAGUCCGAUUUUGGAGCCAGUUGAGCAGGAGGUGACAUCUUUCACGGAGGAGGUGUCAGCUACUUUCCCGGCGCCAGAGGUGAGUCUGAUAGUGGAGCCGGUGGUGCAGGAGGUGGCAUCUUUCACUGAGGAGGAUGUUGUUGCGUUUGGGGGCCUCACAAAUCCCAUGACUCAGGACAGGCGUUCCAGUCAGCGUAUUCAGAUGCAACCUGACGCGGAUGACUUGCAGUUGGGCCGUGCAAUGCGAGCUGCAAAAAUUAGAAAUGCGGAAUACUCCACAGGUAUGUCUUUUCACAAAGACAACUCUAUUCUGCAUUUCUCUCCGCAUGAUAUUAUUGAUAAUGCUGCCGAUAUUGGGGUCUCCUUGGGUGAUACUGGUAGGCAAAUUUCGAAAUCAAUUAAUGACCUUCUAGACUUAGAAGUAGAUAGGGCUCUUGACAUUAUUCGAAAUCUUGCGGCCGUUAAACCUAUGAAUGAUUCUGCGAUUAAUGAGCUGGGGGGGUCUGAACACUCUAUGUGAGAAUUUAGACAUCACUGCUGAUUUGGAGGAGACAGAGGCUUCUAACAUACAGCUAAGUUCCGAGGAGACACUUUCUUCGCCAGUUGACCUCAGAACUUCUGGUUAUAUGGACCAGGAGGUUCUGGAGAAACCAAAACGACCUUGGAAACGGAAGGUAUAUCCGGUUUCCGCGGUUCGAAGGAGUGCUCGCGCUAGGACUGCCAAAAUUUUUUAUGAUGAAAGAUGAGAGGCAUCUUUUGGAAUAGCAGAGGUCUUCGGGACUUGGCUAAAAUAAGAUUUCUUGCUGAGGCAACGUUAGAGCAUCACCUCGAUUUUAUUGCGCUCAUGGAGACUGGGAGAGACAAUUUUACUUCCCAGUUUUUGAGUUCCUUAACCGCGGGUGUGGAUUUUAGCUGGCAUUGUCUCCCUCCAAGAGGAAGAUCCGGUGGGAUCUUACUUGGAGUAAGAUGUGAUACACUUCAUGUUCAGGAAGCGGUACUGGGGGAUUUUGUGGUUAAAUUCCGAAUUAAAUCCAAAGUGGAUGGAUUCCAAUGGGCUCUGGUUGCAGUGUAUGGGGCUGCUCAACAGGAGCUUAAAUCUGAAUUUCUGGCUGAUCUAGUUCGGAUAUGUGAUGAGAAAUUACCGCUGUUGAUUGGUGGUGAUUUCAAUAUCAUUAGGAGAGCUGACGAAAAGAACAAUGACAAUUUUGAUGGCAGAUGGCCUUUUAUGUUUAACUCUAUUAUUGAGAGCCUCGAUCUUAGGGAGAUUGAGCUCUCAGGUAGAAAAUUUACUUGGGCCAACUCCCUUCAAAACCAGACUUUCGAAAAACUAGACAGGGUUCUUACUAGCACUGAAUGGGAACAGAAAUUCCCCCUAGUAACGGUGCGAGCGCUUCAGAGAGCAAUUUCGGACCACACAGCUUUGCUGUUGGACUCUGGUAGUGCUAUACAUAUGGGCAACAAAUUAGGUUUCUCCUUUGAGCUAAGCUGGUUUACUAGGGAGGGGUUUUUAGAUUUGGUUGCCCGGGAAUGGAAUCAAGAGUUGGGUGGGACAUCCAACAUUGAUAGAUGGCAAAACAAAAUUAGACAUCUUAGACAAUACCUUCGUGGUUGGGCUAAGAACGUCUCUGGGAGCUAUAAGGAUGAGCAAGACAGGCUCAUUAAACUUAUAGACGAUCUAGACCGUAAGGCUGAGACUAUUAUCCUGGAUUUUAAUGAGAGAUCAUUAAAGAAUCAGGCUGAACAACGUCUUAGAGCUCUCCUUAGAGAAGAGGAAUCGAAAUGGGCGAGCAGAGCUAAAGUUCGGGCGAUUGUUCAUGGGGAUAAUAAUACUAAAAUUUUUCACCUGAUUGCUAAUGGCAAGCAUCGGAAAAAGAGAAUCAUUCAGCUCGAGCAAGAUGAAGGAACGAUUGUAGGUCAUGAAAACCUAAAAUUGUAUAUCUCUAAUUAUUACAAAAAGUUAUUUGGUGCUUCUGACCAUAGUUUUGUGACUAUGGAUGAGCAUCAAGUAGCGGAUAUACCUCAAGUCGGAGAGUCUGACAAGGAGUUAUUAUCAGCCCCUUUUACGGAGAAAGAGGUGUUGGAGGCUAUCGGGGAGAUGAAGAGUGGUAAAGCUCCUGGGCCAGACGGGUUUCCGGCUGAGUUUUACAAGAAAUGUUGGCAUAUUAUCAAGGAGGAUCUUAUGGCAAUGUUUCAUGAUUUGUAUGCAGGUCAGCUUCAACUCUUUCAUUUGAAUUUUGGUACUAUUACGUUGUUACCAAAGAAAGAGGGGGCGACUCGUAUUGAGCAGUUUCGCCCAAUCUGUUUGCUUAACGUCAGUUUCAAAAUUUUCACGAAGGUGGGAACAGAUAGGUUAACAAAGAUGGCACAUUCCGUUGUGCAAUCUACGCAAACAGCCUUUAUGCCUGGGCGGAACAUUUUGGAAGGUGUCGUUGUGCUACAUGAAACACUGCACGAAAUCCAUUCGAAGAAACUUGAUGGUGUUAUCUUCAAGGUGGAUUUUGAAAAGGCCUAUGAUAAAGUCAAAUGGUCUUUUUUGCAGCAAACCCUUCGUAUGAAGGGGUUCGAUGAGCUCUGGAGAAAGCAUGUCGAUUGUUUCAUAAAAAAUGGCAGUGUCGGGAUUAAGGUUAAUGAUGACGUAGGUCACUUCUUUCAGACACUCAAGGGUCUCCGGCAAGGGGACCCAAUGUACCCUAUUCUAUUCAACAUUGUUGCUGACAUGUUGGCCCUUUUGAUUAAGAGGGCUAAGGAUAAGGAUAUGAUUGGGGGGCUCAUCCUGCACCUUGUGGAUGGGGGAGUUUCGAUACUACAAUAUGCCGAUGACACCAUUCUGUUUAUGGAACAUGACCUGGUUAAAGCUAGGAAUUUGAAACUCAUACUUUGCCUGUUUGAGCAGCUAUCUGGGCUGAAAAUUAACUUCAAUAAAAGUGAGGUGUUCUGUUUUGGUAGAGCCAAAAGUGAACAACACACUUAUAAUCAAUUGUUCGGUUGUGAAACUGGGAAAUUACCCUUUACGUAUUUAGGGAUUCCUAUUCAUCACCGACGUUUAUCAAACAAGGAAUGGAAAUGUAUCGAGGAUCGCUUUGAGAAAAAGCUGAGUUGCUGGAAGGGCAAGCUUCUUUCUUAUGGAGGACGGCUAGUGCUGAUAAACUCAGUACUAACGAGUAUGCCCAUGUUUCUCCUAUCCUUCUUCGAAGUUCCCGUUGGGGUACGGAAAAGACUGGAUUUCUAUCGAUCCCGGUUCUUCUGGCAAAGUGAUGAGCUUAAGGUCAAGUAUAAGCUGACUAGAUGGGAUAUUAUUUGUAGACCCAAAGAUCAGGGUGGUUUAGGAAUUGAAAAUUUAGAGAUUAAAAAUAGGUGUCUACUCAGCAGAUGGCUGUUUAGAUUAUCUUUGGAAACCGAAGGUAUGUGGGUACAAAUUUUGAAGAACAAGUACUUACAGAACAAAUCAUUAUCUCAGGUUACAGCUCAUCCAACGGAUUCUCCUUUCUGGAGAGGGUUGAUGCGGACUAAAAAUGCUUUCUUCUGUAGAACUAGAUUCAUCAUUGGUAAUGGUGAAUCGACUAGCUUCUGGGAAGAUACUUGGUUAGGGGAGAUGCCUCUAGCAUUUCAAUAUCCGCAGCUGUACCAUAUUGCACAACGGCAGCAAGCAUCCGUUGCGUCAGUACUUAGCGAGAUUCCUCUGAAUAUUCAAUUCCGCAGAUCUCUUAUUGGGAGUAGAUGGAUCAGCUGGCUGCAUCUUGUGAGAAGGUUGAUGGAUGUCAACCUGUCUCACACUCCUGACCGUGUAUAUUGGAAGUUGACUAGCAAUGGAAUAUUCACGGUUAAAUCGAUGUAUUUGAAUCUCAUCGAUUCUACACCUAUUCCAAAAUCGGCACAUAUUUGGAAGAUCAAAGUCCCUCUUAGAGUCAAAGUCUUUAUGUGGUUUGUUCAUAAAGGGGUAAUUCUAAUGAAAGAUAAUCUUGCCAAGCGAAAUUGAAAUGGUAACUCUAGAUGCAGUUUCUGUCCGGCUAAAGAAACAAUACAACACCUCUUUCUUACUUGUCCUAUGGCUAAGCUGGUUUGGCGUUCGCUACAUAUUGCUUUUAACAUCAUUCCUCCAAACAGUAUAACCACGUUAUUUGGGAUGUGGCUAAAUGAGGUGGAUGUACAUUCUGCUAAACUUAUUCGCGUGGGGUCUUGUGCACUGUUGUGGGCAAUUUGGAAUUGCAGGAAUGACUUGGUGUUUAACAGACAACGCGAUUUUCACUUCCUGCAGGUUAUUCACAGAGCUACCGCACUGAUCCGCACUUGGUCAUCACUCACUCCUGUGGUCGCCAGGGAACCUAUGGGUACUGGGUGUGUCCGAUGGGAGAUGGUAGCACAGGGUAUCUUCAACCGGUUUGGAUGGCGUCAUGUUAAUAGGAUAGGUGUUUAGUCAUCUAUUUAUUUGUUUGCCAUCUCCGGCUUGGGCAUGAGUAAUGCCUUGUAUCGUUCUUUUCUUCUUUUCCCUUUUUGCUUCAGACAUUUUGUACUCGGUGGAGACUUUUUUUGGCUAAUAAUAUAUGGCCGUAUGCAUCACUCGAUGCAGAAGCCGGGGCUCGACCUCC